rnacentral:rRNA from 1 species
UACGUAGGCGGAAAAUUAAGUCAGUAGUGAAAUCCUGCAGCUUAACUAUAGAACUGUUAUUGAUACUGGUUUUCUUGAAUAUAGUUGAGGUAGGCGGAAUGUGUAAUGUAGCGGUGAAAUGCUUAGAUAUUACACAGAACACCGAUUGCGAAGGCAGCUUACAAAGCUAUGAUUGACGCUGAGGUACGAAAGCGUGGGGAGCGAACAGGAUUAGAUACCCUGGUAGUCC